GGAGAUUUUUGCUGAAUGGAGGGUGCUGCUGUCCUCUGCAUUGCGUGAUCGAGCAAGCACAGGGAGCUUUCUCUGCUGGAGGUUAACCUAGGGCAUCCUACGUCACUGAAUGACAACCAGUUUUCGGAAGGCAGGACGGUUUUGGUUCCGCACAGCUACUGAAGAUGUGUGGGACACAGCCCUUUACCUUAACUUAGAGAGACAAAACAGAAGUCUAAGAAUUAGUGAGAAAAAGGGCAUGAGUGUAUUAUAAACCUUAAACUGUGUGCGGUAGAAGCAUAAAAGACCCAGACUGAUUAAAGUGCUAAUUGUGUUAGAGACAAUAUUGGAGGGAAAAAGGAGAGCACUCUGUAGGAAGAAGAUUUCAGGGAAGGGUAGAGUAGAAGUGGAUCAAGGAUGAGGCUCUCUGGUCUCUGGAAAGGAUAAAACUGACUUUAUCAGCAACACAUGUUUAUUGAGCACGAAGGGGUUUGCACCUGUUAGAAGCACUUGGAAUUUACAGAAAUUUAACUCUACUGCUGUCUUAACACUGUCAAAAUAUUUUCUAUGCGGAUACAGUGUUGUAAAUCCUUGGAGAGUGGGUAUUAACCUGGGGAUGGUCUGAAUUUGGAAUCUUCUGCCCCACCGGCACCAAUCCCAGCUGGCGGGAGAGACAGAGGGAAUGAACAGAGACACUGGUUUAUAAGGGACACAGAAUCAGAUGGACCGCUUCACUUCAGAGUGAUGUCAGCAGAAAUUGCAGAGUAAAGACCUCCAGAAAUCCUUCUGUCCAUAAAAACAAUGGAACGCUAGCAAAAAUUCUGAUAAUCAGCCUUGGUAGAACUCUGGAAAUUAACCAAAGGCUUGAAGUAAACUGAGAAGCAUUUAUUUAAGAAAAAUAGAUGAAUCUGAGUAAGAACAUUGAAUUGUAUGACAUUUUAACUUGCCCUAUUCACAAUGUAAGCGGACCUUUCUUACUAGAUAUCAAGAUUAUUGUUAAUUUCUAAUAAAGAAAACAACAUGUUUCAGCGACAAACAUAUAGAACGGUGGGCAGAACAAAUAGCCCAGAGAAGAAUCAUACAUAAAUGGGCACGAUAUUUGAGAGAGAGAGCAUAACAGAUCCGUGGAGAAAUGCAGACUGUUCAACAAAAGGUGCUGGAAAAGUGGGAAUCCAUGUGGGAAAAAGAAACAAAAUUGGACUACUACUACUGCAUACUGUAUCUGCCCAAAAUUCCCAGAAGAAAUAAAGAUCUAAUUGUUAAAGGCAAAACUACUAUUUUAAAGAAAUUAAUAUAAAAUUUUAUUUGUAAUUUUUGAAUAGGGAAGAAGUUCUUUAAAAAUAUAGAAUAGCUUCCAGUAUAAAAGUGAUAGAUAAGUUCAAUUACAUUAAAAUGAAACCUUUUGGUCCUCAAAGUACUAGAAGAAAGUGAAGACAAGCCACUUUAGGAGAUGUGAGAGAAGAUAUGCACAAAACAUACAAUGGACAAUUAACUUGAUUUGGGAGUAUAUAUAUAACACUCCUACGUAUGAAAAAUAUGAAACUCACCUGGCCACAUAACUCCAUGAAAAUAUGUUUAAUCUCUUUAAUAAUCAAGAAUAAGCAAAAUGAUACUGCAGUAGCUUAACACUACUAAUCACAAAGAUUUUCAAAAACUUUAAAAAUCAGAAAACACCAAUUGUAUUAGAUUGAAUUAUUGGUUUCGACACUUCAUUCCUCUGUAAUGCAAUUCCACAUGUGCAUCCUCGCUGUGGUUUCUUGGUGUGUAAAAUGAAUGUUCUUGCUCCUUGACUUUGGCCUUGUUUGCGAUUUGCUUUGACUAAUGGAAUGUCAGUGUACAUGACACAAACAGUGGCUUAAAAUGGGCUU
ensembl:lncRNA